rnacentral:rRNA from 1 species
AUGGACAGAUUCAACAAGCAAGUUUGUGGUAAAUGCAAAGAUCCUAGACACUCUACCAGAGAAUGCAGGGUAGGACACUGUUUGAUCUGUGGAAGGGAUAAUCAUAUCACUAGUGAGUGUAACUUGCUGAAGCAGAUGAAGCCAGUACCAAAAUAUGUUGGAUAUGCUGCUAAGGGGCUGGGAAUCUUGUUGGUUCACAGUUAUAAAGAUGUGCUAGUGGUUGAACACACAAACCCUCUGGGUGUGGUGAUUAUUAGAGAACGGCAGAUCAAUGAAACUGAACUAACCAAGGCUCUAGGAGAGAUGUUUGACUGGGGAUGGCAAUGGAGAGUAAAAGAAUUUGGGGAAAAUGGCUUCAUGAUGAGAUUCCCCAAUAAGGCAAAACUGGUGGAACUGGAAAAAUUCAACGACUUCAAUCUACUGGGGACUAGGGUGGUGAUCAAAGUUCAACCUUGGUCACUGGAUCAUCAGACUAUAGGGAAAAUGCAUACAGCUUGGAUCAAACUGAACAAGGUGCCUGACUGUUUCAGACACUUCUUGGGCAUCUGUGAGGUUGCUGCAGUGGGGCCUGUGCUAGAAGUAUAUAUGGAUACAAUAAAUGAGGAGAAAGUCAGGGUCAAAUGUGGGAUCAUAGAUGUGGAAAGAAUUCCAUCCCAAGUGGAAAUCACUGCCCCUGAUCUGCUCAUGUUCAGGAUUGGUGCAGAAGUUGAGAAGGUGGUUGAAAUUGGCUGGUAUAAAGGAGAAAAGAGAAAAAUGAUAAUAUAUGUAACCUAG